AUUGAACGCUGGCGGCAUGCUUUACACAUGCAAGUCGAACGGUAACAGGCCGCAAGGUGCUGACGAGUGGCGAACGGGUGAGUAACGCAUCGGAACGUGCCCAGUCGUGGGGGAUAACGCAGCGAAAGCUGCGCUAAUACCGCAUACGAUCUCUGGAUGAAAGCGGGGGACCGAAAGGCCUCGCGCGAUUGGAGCGGCCGAUGUCAGAUUAGGUAGUUGGUGGGGUAAAGGCUCACCAAGCCAACGAUCUGUAGCUGGUCUGAGAGGACGACCGGCCACACUGGGACGGAGACACGGCCCAGACUCCUACGGGAGGCAGCAGUGGGGAAUUUUGGACAAUGGGCGCAAGCCUGAUCUAGCAAUGCCGCGUGCAGGAAGAAGGCCUUCGGGUUGUAAACUGCUUUUGUACGGAACGAAACGGUCCUGGUUAAUACCUGGGGCUAAUGACGGUACCGUAAGAAUAAGCACCGGCUAACUACGUGCCAGCCGCCGCAGUAAAAC
rnacentral:rRNA from 1 species